AUUGAACGCUGGCGGCAUGCCUUACACAUGCAAGUCGAACGGUAACAGGUCUUCGGACGCUGACGAGUGGCGAACGGGUGAGUAAUGCAUCGGAACGUGCCCAGUCGUGGGGGAUAACUGCUCGAAAGAGCAGCUAAUACCGCAUACGACCUGAGGGUGAAAGCGGGGGACCGUAAGGCCUCGCGCGAUUGGAGCGGCCGAUGUCAGAUUAGCUAGUUGGUGGGGUAAAGGCCUACCAAGGCAACGAUCUGUAGUUGGUCUGAGAGGACGACCAGCCACACUGGGACUGAGACACGGCCCAGACUCCUACGGGAGGCAGCAGAGGGGAAUUUUGGACAAUGGGCGCAAGCCUGAUCCAGCAAUGCCGCGUGCAGGAAGAAGGCCUUCGGGUUGUAAACUGCUUUUGUCAGGGAAGAAAUCUUCUGGGCUAAUACCCCGGGAGGAUGACGGUACCUGAAGAAUAAGCACCGGCUAACUACGUG
rnacentral:rRNA from 1 species